GUCCACGCCGUAAACGAUGCAUACUAGUCUUAUGGGGUAUCGACCCCUGUGAGACGCAGCUAACGCGAUAAGUAUGCCGCCUGGGAAGUACGGCCGCAAGGCUAAAACUCAAAGGAAUUGACGGGGACCCGCACAAGCAGAGGAUGAUGUGGUUUAAUAUGACGCUACGCGUAGAACCUUACCAAGGCUUGACAUCCCUAGAACCCGCCGGAAACGGUGGGUGUCUUCGGAAGCUAGGUGACAGGUGCUGCAUGGCCGUCGU
rnacentral:rRNA from 1 species